rnacentral:rRNA from 1 species
GACGAACGCUGGCGGCGUGCUUAACACAUGCAAGUCGAACGGAAAGGCCCUGCUUUUGUGGGGUGCUCGAGUGGCGAACGGGUGUGUAACACGUGAGUAACCUGUCCUUGACUUUGGGAUAACUUCAGGAAACUGGGGCUAAUACCGGAUAGGAGCUCCUGCUGCAUGGUGGGGGUUGGAAAGAUUCGGCGGUUGGGGAUGGACUCGCGGCUUAUCAGCUUGUUGGUGGGGUAGUGGCUUACCAAGGCUUUGACGGGUAGCCGGCCUGAGAGGUUGACCGGCCACAUUGGGACUGAGAUACGGCCCAGACUCCUACGGGAGGCAGCAGUGGGGAAUAUUGCACAAUGGGCGGAAGCCUGAUGCAGCAACGCCGCGUGCGGGAUGACGGCCUUCUGGUUGUAAACCGCUUUCUCCUGUGACGAAGCGUGAGUGACGGUAAUGGGUAAAGAAGCACCGGCUAACUACGUG